rnacentral:rRNA from 1 species
UACAGGGGGGGCAAGCGUUGAUCGGAAUUACUGGGCGUAAAGGGCGCGUAGGCGGCCAACUAAGUCACACGUGAAAUCCCCAGGCUUAACCUGGGAACUGCGUGUGAUACUGGAUGGCUUGAAUUCGGGAGAGGGAUGCAGAAUUCCAGGUGUAGCGGUGAAAUGCGUAGAUAUCUGGAGGAAUACCGGUGGCGAAGGCGGCAUCCUGGACCGACAUUGACGCUGAGGCGCGAAAGCUAGGGGAGCAAACGGG